CACUGCUUCUGCCCUUCUCCUUCACACAGGCUGGAGUCAAUGAGAGCUCUUGCAGUCCUGAACCCUGUCCCAGCAUCCAGACACGCUCCAGGGCGGCUGCCAAAAGGGAUGGAGAACAGAAGGAAAAAGAAGAUGCAGCUCAGACACAGACACUGGGGCAGCAAAUCAUGGCUCUGCAUUGGUGGGAAGCAUCAGCAUCGCUGCAGGGGUUGGUUUCCUCUGGGUGCCAUCCUUGACCAAGAUGUCAGCCUCCCUCCAUACCAGGAGCCACCAGCAAGAUCCAGUGAUGGGAAACAGAAGAACCCAAGAUAUUUAAAAGCAGGAAG
rnacentral:lncRNA from 14 species